UCAACACUUAACCUUUUUUCCCUUAGUUUUCAAUUUUAAUUAACCCUCAAACAACAGAACACUAGUUUUAGACCUAGCCACCAAAGAAAACCCUAAGUUGCCUGCGCCUCCAUCUUCAUUGUUCAUCGUUCUUCACAGCCAUGCCUUUCCUCAUGCCUUCAUCGUCCGAGACCGUUCAUCGCCUUCAUCUAACCCUGGUACCCAUGAACGCAACCCUCUUCCCUCUUCUCGUCUACUCCUGCCACCGCAAACCCUAGCUCCGCUGCUUCUUCUCGUCCAUUCUCUUUUUCAUUUGCUUCUUCAUCCUCCACCGUAGGAGGAAGCGGCGGCGCCACUACUACCUUCCUCCUCCGCAGCCUGUGCGCCGUCAUUUUCCUUCGGUUUUGGGUCCGCGACCGCAUCUGCUUGGCUCCUGCUCCAGCUCCGUCUCUGUUCGGAUCUGCUUCUUUGGCUUCCACUGCGGCAGCUUCGAGUUCGGGUUCUUCCAUUUUCGGUGCCGCGAGUUCAGGCUCCUCCUUGUUCUCCACACCGUCUUUUGGUGGAACUUCAUCUGCCACGACACCGUUUGGGGCAAAACCCUCUGCUGCGACGACACCGUUUGGCGGAGCAUCUUCUGCUUCACCCUCGCUAUUUCGUGGAGCAUCCUCUGCUUCACUCUAUCUAACCCUCGUUGGCCCUCCUACUCCUUCAGCGCAGCGCGCGCUCUUUCUCGCAAACCCUCAUUAAAGGGUGACCGUAGCUGAAGAGGUCCUCAAGCUCUGCAAUGGCAGCGUCAUUUCUCCCAUUGCCUGCAUUGCUUGCCCUAACCUAUAUGCUUAUCUCAAGAACACGGAUUCUAAUGUUCCUGCACAACUUUUUGAGUAUGACAAACCUUUUGGGCAGUACGGAUGUGAUUACACAUUUUAUAACAACAAUCACCCUGAGGCCUGAGGAGUUGCCGCUGGAGUUGAAGCAUUCCUUCAAAAUAGUAGUGGCAGAUCCUCCUUACUUGUGUAAUAAAUCAGUAGCCGAAUGAAGAGAAGGCUGAAUGGAUUAUAUAUGUCACAGAUGUUGGGCAGCAACAACACUUUGAUAUGGUAUUCAAGGCAUGUCACAAUUAAUGACGUUCAUGUGCUGAUCAACUCUUGCCAUUGCUGCUGAGAAAAGAAGGCCGCCAAGUCCAGAGACGCCAACUUCGAGGUGAAAGUCGCUUUCUAAACUGUCCUUUAGAAACAUGAUGGUAGGUGUUAAUUUUCAUGUCUUGCAUGAUUGAUUUCUCUAAUACUAGUUUAGUUUGUUACUUAUUCCUUCUAUUUGUUUGCAGUUAGAUAUAUUGAUUUCUCUAAACUAGUUUGGUUUUUGUGUUUUCUUGAUUCGGUUAAACAAUGACAAAUGGCACAGCAUUUGGAGCUUCUCAAGACAGUAAACUGAAAUGUCUGUUGUUAGUAGCUUAUUAUGUAAUCAAAUAAUAAACUGACAAAAGGCAGAGGACUUUUAAUUUCCACUAACAAACAUUUGAUUCAAUUGCUUAAUAACAAACUAAAACCAAGUCUAGUUUAAAACCAUGUUAAAUUUACUUAAGAAGAACUUGACAGUGAAGCUUAUAUUUCUUAGGUAGCAAAUAAAUGAAUUCCAUACGUACAAUAUUUCAAUCUUAGUUUUAGGAAAUAAUUAAUUUUAGUUCUUUGUUAAUAAUUUCUUGUUUUGGGAUGUUAUGCAUCAGUGCUAUUAGAUGAUACAUCAACUUUUACCGGAGAAAUGACAGCAGGUCCUAAUGCUAAUUCUAUUAGAGGUUUUGAAGUCAUAGAUACCAUAAAAUCCCAAGUAGAGAGCUUGUGCCCUGGUGUUGUGUUUUUGUGCUGAUAUUCUUGCUGUUGCCGCUAGAGAUUUUGUUGUUGCUAUUCUUGCCAAGUGCGAAGUUUCUUAGCCCUGGUGUCAGCGUCAAAGAUUGCUGAAAAGGCUGGAUGUUGUUUAGGAGUUAGAUUAGAUUUUUUUUAGUAUAAAGUUGUUAAUUCUUUUAAAUGUUUACUUUGGAAGUUGAAUUUAUUUUUUCUUAAUUGUUUCAUUCAUAUCUUAUUAUGUACAUAAUUCAUAUAAAUCAAUUAUGUACAUAAUUCAUAUAAAUCAAUGGAAGAUUAAUUUUUUAGUAU